UUAAGCAUCGGGGUUCUUGAGACUAUAAGCCAGAGAGAAUGGUACUAUACCCUCUGCUGCCUGAACACUGGAGGUUUCUGAUAUGGACAAAAGUCAACUCAAUAACUACUCAGUAAGGACUCACUAGGUGCUAGAACUGUACUGAAUUACAAUCUCUGCCUUCAAGUAAUUCCAUGGGAAUCUAAGACAUAUAUAUGCAUAACGACUACAGUGAAAAUGCAAAGCAGUAUAAAACUUGAAGAAAAAAAAAAACAAACAGUUCAGGGGCACCUGGGUGGCUUAGUCAGUUAAGCAUCUGACUCUUGACUUCAGCUCAGGUCAUGAUCUCACAGUUUGUGAGAUCGAGCCCUGUGUCAGCUCUGCACUGACAGCACAGAGCCCGCUUGGGAUUCUCUCUCUCCCUCUCUCUGCUCCCCACCCCCCCACAUGCACACACUCUCUCAAUAAUAAAUACAUUAAAAAGACAAAAAAAGCCAAAAAACCCAGUUCAGAUAGUCUCAGCUAUGAAAUAAAGGUUAGAGAAGGGAAGGCAAUAGUUGUGGACAGACUUCACUAAAGAGAAAGCACCUGAAGGCAAGGACAGAGUACUCUAGGCAGAGGGCAAAGUAUGGGCAAAGGUUCAGAUACUGAAAUGAGUAUGGCAGGUUUAAAAGACAGUAAAGAAGUUCUUUUGGAUAGAUUAGAAAGAUCACUUGAAAGCCAGAGAAAUAAGACUACAUAGGUAGGACUAAUAAGAAACUAAGACAAGUCACAGAUGCCUUUUGAGCAUUAAACCAGUAAGUUUCCAAAACAAAACA